rnacentral:misc_RNA from 1 species
GAUGAAGAACGCAGCGAAAUGCGAUACGUAAUGUGAUUUGCAGAAUUCAGUGAAUCAUCGAAUCUUUGAACGCACAUUGCGCCUGCCAGCACUCUGGCAGGCAUGCCUGUUCGAGCGUCAUUUCAACCAUCAAGCCCUAGGCUUGCGUUGGAGCCCUGCGGCUGCCGCAGGCCCCUAAAAGCAGUGGCGGGCUCGCUAUCACACCGAGUGCAGUAGAUUACUCUUCGCUCAGGGCGUGUGGCGGGUUCCAGCCGUGAAACCCCCUACUUCUCAAGGUUGACCUCGGAUCAGGUAGGAAUACCCGCUGAACUUAAGCAUAUCAAUAAGCGGAGGA